rnacentral:lncRNA from 1 species
AUAGCUGGACUCUAUAUAGAUAUAUCUAUAAAAUUAGGCUGGAAUACUAUUAAUAGCACAAAUAGCUUAGUGUUAUUAGUUUUUUAGUUUUUGGAUUGAGAAAAGUGCGGCUAGGAUGAUAUAGCCCUCCUAGGGUGGAGUGGGUGGUUGGUUGAAUAGUAUAAUCUAACGGAUAAAAAUAAUCAAAAGGUUAUAUCUAACAGUGGAAAACUCAUAGCACCAAAUCGUUUGUGCUAUCAAUAGUAUCCCAGCCGGACUCUCUCUCUCUCUCUCUCUCUCUCUCUCUCUCUCUCUCUCUCUCUAUAUAUAUAUAUAUAUAUAUAUAUAUAGAGUUGAGCUAGAAUACUCUCGAUAGUAAACGGAGCAUUUUACUAUCGAGUUGUUUUCGAUGAUAGAGCUUCCAAAUUGACGAUCGGCUCCGUUAAAUAUGAUCUAAACCAUUUAAACUACAUAGAAAUCAAAUUUCACGCACUUUCGAUAUUGUUCUUUUAUCCAUCUAGUAAACAGAAAAUAAACGGUUGAAAAUGAAAAUUCUUUAAAAAAUGAUGAUAGGAGUCUUGUAAUCAAGAUCAAGAGUAUAGAUCUUGUUUUAAAUAGUUUAAAAAAUUUUCUAACAAAUAUUCAAUUGAUUUGGAUAUCUUUACACCGUUAAACGAAAAAACGUCUCUUAUCCACCAUUAAAAUUACAAAUUUUGAAACCCUUUGAUCAUUAGGCAAAUGAUGUCGAAAAGAUUUGAAAUUUGAUUUCUAAACACUUUAAGUGGUAUAGAUCAUGUUCAACGGAGCCGAUCGUCAAUUUGGAAGCUCUAUCAUCGAAAACAACUCGAUAGUAAAAACCCUGUUUACUAUCGAGAGUAUUCUAGCUCAACUCUAUAUAUAUAUAUAUAUAUAUAUAUAUAUACAAUGUAGAGCUAUUAUGCUAUCGAAAGCAUAAAGAAUUUGAUACUUCCGAUUUUUUGACCAUUGGAUUAAGAAUUAUAUGAUUGGGAUAAUUGCGGUCGACCUUAGAGUUGAGUAGUACCCUUAGGAUUGAGUGGUCCUCACAAAAUAAUAGUGGUAAUCCAAAUAUUAGAAAUAAUUAAAGGGACUAAUCUAAGGGCAAAAAUAUCGGAAACACCAGAUUUUCUAUAUUUCCGAUAUGGUAUAGUAGCUCUACUAUCUCUCUCUCUCUCUCUCUCUCUCUCUCUCUCUCUCUCUCUCUCUCUCUCUAUAUAUAUAUAUAUAUAUAUAUAU